CAUUUAAGCCCGCCAGUUCAUUCAUCGCCGCGAGCUCCCAUCCUUUUCCCCCUCAAAAUCAACAGCAGAGACCACGCAGCGCGUCCAAAGUUGAAUGCUCCGCUCGAGUGAUGUUCGAUACAGUAUUGAACUAUUCACUGGUGAUGCCGAAAGGCUAUGAAUAGUGGCGAUAGGAAAUGAUGAUAUGCAUGAGAUGGUUAUUGGACUGAUGUUGAAAACCUUUGAGCCAGAUAGAGCACAAAUAUGACAUCAAAAUAUCAUCUGCAUAUCUGUGCUGUAGCUAGCAAGAAAUGUUGUUGUUACAAGUACUCAUUUUAACUACAUACUGAAGAUUGAACCACAUAGAUCAAGUAUCACUGAAUGUCACGAUUGAUAUAAAUAUCGUGGCAGACAAAUGGGGUUCUCAGAAAAGGACGUGCAGAACAUACAAGGGUGAAUGGAGUUCGAGGACCUACAUCAAUACUUUUGCUCCGAAUUGCACUCUGUAUCUAAGAUUACCACUUCCUAGAGAAGCUCAUUUGAGCAAACAUCGAAGGGAAUUCAUGGGAAGGUAUCAAUCAGACUCACUAUAUCAGGAAAGAUUCCUGUCACUUUGGGGAUUGUAUGGUGGGUUCUGCGUCAAGUGGUACCGCUGGUGGAUUUAAGCUUCUGCCUCAUUAGUGGGUUCCGCUUCAUGUCCUUGAAGCACAUGGGUUUUCUGCUUUUAAGUCCUCUCAAGAACAGCAUGAUCCUUAAGACACCUUUUAAAUGGCAAGAGCCAUGUAUCGGGUUCGAUAGUCUGAGCAGGUGCUACGGGGAGGCGAAGGUGGUGAAGUUUGACUCUCGGUGACCCAGAAUAGGAAAAGCCUGACAAAAAAGAGGGCAAGGAAGGCCUUAGUGGACCGAAGAUUACAUUACACAUGUGGGUUUCUAUAUAUGUGCACUGUUCUAAGGCAUGCAUGAUUGAAUUAUUCUAGCAGGACAGACUCCACUUGUACCGCAGGAGUCCCUUCAAUCCCUCGAUCGGGACCACCGUACGUCAAGGUCCAACUGAUAACAAUACAUAUUUGGGGACCCCUCCCCACUUGCAUAGCCACUAAAAAAUAUUGAACCAGAUUCACCGGCGAGGUCAAUGGGUGCUCCUCUUCUCUCAAUCCCCUUUGGCCCUGACAAUCACGUGAUACUCGAUAGGCGUCCAAGCUUUGUAUGCUGAGGAGUAGAAUAAAAUGGAAAGACAGUUUGGUUUAGUUAGAAGAUCGAGCUAUAUACAUCCGUAUGUCCCUAAAUGAGAUGGCACUCUUUGAUGAUUCAUCAGCGAAAUAUGCUCUUUUACCAUUAUUACUGUCCACUGUCUUAUUGACCAAACUGGUAAAUUUGAUGACGUUCUUUAACAUCAUCAGUGAUUCAGCACCUCUUGUUGUCACCGACAUGUAACUGUUGUCCAGUUCAGUUAUUUCACCGUAGCUUGGUUCCGCCUUAUACACGACACGGGUACAUACCUUAAUUGGGACUA